GCACGAAAACGCAGAGCAGUCUCUUUCCCCAAAUCUCUCCGGAUUCGAUCACAGAGGCCGGAUUCUUCAUUUUCCAUCAGAGAAUGAUGAUGUUGGAUAUUUUUAAGUAGAGGGAAAGUUUGAAGUUUUGAGCUACAGAUCGUUUAGACCAGGUGAGUCUAAUCUGAGAUCACUUUGAUGUAGUUUCAACAAGUAGGGUAAGUUUCAAAUAUUUGUUUGGUCCCUUGAACUUUCAUCCUAACUCAAGUAAGCACUUGUCUUUGCACUUUAUAUUUAGCAAGGCUUCCAGUUUUGACAGAUUUGGCAGAGCUAGGAUGACUCCUGCCUUAUAUUUCAGCAACUUCAUCUCACCCAAAGAUGAGGAGAGGAGGACUAAAACAAUUCUACUUAUUAUUUUGGGCUAGCUACAUUUUGCUUCACACAAGGAUUGUUCGGACACGAGUUUGUAUGGAAACUUGUGCAAUUAGAAGUCAGUUUGUUACAUCCUUAAGAAAACUUUAUGAAUAAUGAACGGAUAUGAGUUACGUAGAGGAUCAAGGAGGACUUCUUACGAAAUGAAAACAAGAUUAUUUUUUUGAACUUUAGAGUUGUUGCUAAGUUUCUUUGACCUAAUUUGUAGUAUAUGCCAUCCUUCAAGCCAAUAUAUUCCACAAUAUACUAUAGGAAUUUAUAGUUGCUCACAAUGACAAUAAUCUAUAUUAGUGCAAUGAUGAAUAACCCUGUAUGCAGAUAUUUGUUAUAUCGUGCACUGUAUAUGUAUCACUUGUUUGAUGUGCCUGCGUUAAGGCUUAGACUGUUGAUUUUAUGGAACACUUUUUGUGUGAAUCAACUUCAGGAAGACAUGGAUGGGCACAUUUUAUCAUUAGUAAACUAUUGAUGAACUCAUUCAAAAAGUAAAAAUCAUGUCUUAGGCCAAGUGCAUAAAUCAUGAGAUCGAUUUUAGCUGGCAAUUAUAUACAAGAAAUGAGAAUGAAUAAGUUUCAAAAUUGCAAGAGAGAUCUUCUUCUUCACCUUCUACUCCUUUAUGACUGGCUUAUCAUUUGAAUGAAUGCUCAUUUUCGAGCAUUAAUUUGGAACAAUUAUAAUGUUAAAUACAAAUGAAUUCCUAGCUGUAGGGGAUCUCAGAAAAUGACCUAAUUUUGUUUUCCUUAUUUCUGCUGCCUGGAUUAUAUGUGAAUGCAUCUCAUGUUAGAGAAGGAACAAUUGUAUGUACAACAAUGUGUUAGUCCCUGGUUGUGUUCAAGCUAGGCAAUGAAUUUUUCUCCC